CAUGCAAGUCUAUGAGGAAGUUUAGCUUGCUAAAUGGACUCAUGGCGGACGGGUGAGUAACGCGUAAAGAACUUGCCCUUUAGACUGGGAUAACAGAGGGAAACUUCUGAUAAUACUGGAUAAGUUAGUAUAUCGCAUGAUAUGCAAAUGAAAGCUACGGCACUAAAGGAGAGCUUUGCGUCCUAUUAGCUAGUUGGUAAGGUAAGAGCUUACCAAGGCGAUGAUAGGUAGCCGGCCUGAGAGGGUGGACGGCCACAAGGGGACUGAGAUACGGCCCUUACUCCUACGGGAGGCAGCAGUGGGGAAUAUUGGACAAUGGAGGGAACUCUGAUCCAGCAAUUCUGUGUGUGUGAAGAAGGUUUUAGGACUGUAAAACACUUUUAGUAGGGAAGAAAGAAAUGACGGUACCUACAGAAGAAGCGACGGCUAAAUACGUGCCAGCAGCCGCGGUAAUACGUAUGUCGCGAGCGUUAUCCGGAAUUAUUGGGCUUAAAGGGCAUCUAGGCGGUUAAACAAGUUGAAGGUGAAAACCUGUGGCUCAACCAUAGGCUUGCCUACAAAACUGUAUAACUAGAGUACUGGAAAGGUGGGUGGAACUACACGAGUAGAGGUGAAAUUCGUAGAUAUGUGUAGGAAUGCCGAUGAUGAAGAUAACUCACUGGACAGCAACUGACGCUGAAGUGCGAAAGCUAGGGGAGCAAACAGG
rnacentral:rRNA from 1 species